AUUGGUCACUGAACUUUUUGCAACUGUGUAUUUCUAAAUUUUGUGGCUUCAGUGCACGCAAAUUUAUAUUGUUCAGUUUGCAUGUUAAAAGCCUGCCAAGCACCCCAAGGCUGAUUAUGCUUGGUAAGAAGUCAUUUAUGAAAUAGAGCUGAUUAGACCAUAUUAAAAUUUCUGUUUGGCACAGAAGCUUUUCGUGGACACAGGUAUCCAGUCUCUGUUUUGUUAGCUCAAAUUUCUGUAAUUUCCUUUAUAAACCAAGGUUGUUGGACAUGUGUCUCAGUGAAUCCAGCAAAGUAACAAUAUCAAAUUUCACAUUACAUAUUACUGAUCAACAUAGUAAUCUAGCUACACCAACAGCAAAAAUACUGAAGUCAAUACUGUAAAGUUUAACAGCAGAACAAACUAUAAACUCCAAAAUAACCAUACAGUUGAUUCAUCUCCGGUAAUUUAACUGGGCUGACUCUUUGUUAGGUGUGUUUAAUGGGCAGAAUAAUUCCCAAUUAUGUACAAUUAUAAUAUGUUAAAACGGACUUAUGUACAUAAGGCCAUUAAGAAUUAACUGUACAUAGCUAUUUGCUUUAUGACUAUCUAGACAGUGUGAAGAAGUGAAGUAUUGAAAUUAUUUUAUGUUGCAUAAUGACAACAUGUUGCCCCUAUACAUUUAAGGACAAAGUUCAAUGACCGCCACCUGCUGGAUGGUGAGUGCAGAGGGGCGUGUAAUUGUUGAGCUGGACAAAGAGAACACCUUUGCUGAUGCUGUCAGUCUUCUUUGGUUCAUUCUAUGUAUUGAACCUGGAAUACCAGGAGUCAGCGUGUGCAAGGUUUUUUGUAAGGAUAAACCCUGAAGAGGGAACAAAAUGUACCUCCAAGGUUGGGACAAGCAGAAAGACUGGGACCACUGUGAAGCGAAAGGUUGUUCACAUUAACCCUCAUGUCACAACUUUCCUCCAGUGGCUUACUGAAUUUGAGUGGAGAACUUCAAAUUAGAUGAUCCAUGGCCCAUGCUUUCUGGACAUUUACACAAGAUGAGCAACAAUGAAGACAAGCUCUCUCGCCAUCUUGCAAGACGCUGUCUCUGUCCAACAGGUUUUUUGAGUGCAA